CAGGUCUGAAGAGACUGGAUGUGAUUGUAUGGUGAGCACAAUAGAAUAACUUGGCUGCACAAAUUACAGAUGAUGUUUUGAAAAGAACAAGAACUGUGUUAAUCUAGAAGAAAAUGAAGUGAGUGCUUGCUGAAUAUUGUCUUGACCGUCCUUUAGGAUGGACAACUGGCAGACGUGGCACAGUGCAAACUGCCUUAUGGUGUCCCAUCAGGUCAGACAGGCUCCUGUUCUCAGCAGCAGUUUCUCUGCCAAAUGCCAUCGUAUCGCAUCUAAGCUGUUUAGUGUGUGUGAUGCUGUACUCUGGGGGCACUGAGAGGUUCUCUGCCCAAUCCAAGCCUAAACAUGGAGUGGUGGCACUGCCUCUGUGCGGGUAAAGACACACACUGGAAGCUGUCAGCUGCUCUGUUCUGCUUUACUCUGUGUCUCCUGCUGCAUAGGGUGCAUCUGUGUAUGGCAAAGUGGGCAUGCCUUGUUAAGAAAUCUAUAUGGAAUUUGUGUAGCUGCUAUUGCUGAACAUAACUAGC
ensembl:lncRNA